AAACCAUAACUGAUUUAUUUAAUUGCACCAAACUUUAAAUAAAGCAGAAAUGGAAAAUCCUAAACUCUACUUUACAUUCAUUCU